UAGAUCAUUAUAAACCCAGUUGGUAGUUUAGGUGGUAGAUCAUUAUAAACCCAGUUGGUAGUUUAUGCGGUAGAUCAUUAUAAACCCAGUUGGUAGUUUAGGUGGUAGAUUAUUAUAAACCCAGUUGGUAGUUUAGGCGGUAGAUCAUUAUAAACCCAGUUGGUAGUUUAGGUGGUAGGUCAUGGAUGUGCUGGGUUUAGGAGUAACCCCUGUAGUCUCUGCUCUGUUAGCGACACAUGGAGUAAGAUAAUUCAACGUGCAACAAUUUCCCCAUAGAGUUUAAACUGCAAACAUUUUCAUUAUCAUUCUUCCUCUUUUCUUCAUCAGCGUCUUCAUCAUCAUCAUCAUCAUCAUCUCAGAUAUUGUUGCCAUCACAGAGUCAGUGAUGAAGUUCUGGUGUGUGUGUGUGUAUAUAUAUAUAUAUAUAUAUAUAUGUGGUAUGUGUAGAUAGGUAGGUAGGUAGUUAGUUCUGGUGUGUGUAUAUAUAUAUGUGGUAUGUGUAGAUAGGUAGGUAGGUAGGUAGGUAGUUAGUUCUGGUGUGUGUAUAUAUAUAUGUGGUAUGUGUAGAUAGGUAGGUAGUUAGUUCUGGUGUCUCUGGCCUCCUCUCCAGAGUCAAAGUCUUUUGUUUCCAUAGUGUUGAUAGGUUGAUAUCACAUUGUGACAUUGUAUUGCGUUGUACAAUAAACGUCCCAGCAACACUUCAAACACACAGCUCCUUCUCCCAUCUACCUAUAGCGAGUCGGCGUAUCAAGCCACCAUGGCAACCCUGGUGGGUGUGGCUCUUCCUGUCUUGUUGCCGGGGUAACAUCCAUCCUGCUGACUUGUGGGUUAGGGCUAGGUUCAGGGUUCAGGUAAUCUGGUGUUACACCACUGGACAAAACACCAGCCUUACACUCAACUAUAACUGAGUUUAUCAGGGUGUUAAUCUGGCUAUUCUGAUUUUGACUCCGUAUGACAGAAGACAAGCAUUCUCUGGGAUCUUUCCCAGCGUGACCCGCCCCCUCCUCUCUCUGACCCUGCUCCCCCCUCUCUGACCCUGCUCCCCCCUCCUCUCUCUGACCC
rnacentral:lncRNA from 1 species